rnacentral:rRNA from 1 species
UACAGAGGUCUCAAGCGUUGUUCGGAUUCAUUGGGCGUAAAGGGUGCGUAGGCGGCGCGGGUAAGUCGGGGUGUGAAAUCUCGGGGCUUAACUCCGAAACUGCAUUCGAUACUGCCGUGCUUGAGGACUGGAGAGGAGACUGGAAUUUACGGUGUAGCGGUGAAAUGCGUAGAUAUCGUAAGGAAGACCAGUGGCGAAGGCGGGGAUCUCUGGACAGUUCCUGACGCUGAGGCACGGAAGGCCA